UUAAGCGACUAAGCGUACACGGUGGAUGCCCUGGCAGUCAGAGGCGAUGAAGGACGUGCUAAUCUGCGAUAAGCGUCGGUAAGGUGAUAUGAACCGUUAUAACCGGCGAUUUCCGAAUGGGGAAACCCAGUGUGAUUCGUCACACUAUCAUUAACUGAAUCCAUAGGUUAAUGAGGCGAACCGGGGGAACUGAAACAUCUAAGUACCCCGAGGAAAAGAAAUCAACCGAGAUUCCCCCAGUAGCGGCGAGCGAACGGGGAGCAGCCCAGAGCCUGAAUCAGUGUGUGUGUUAGUGGAAGCGUCUGGAAAGGCGUGCGAUACAGGGUGACAGCCCCGUACACAAAAAUACACAUACUGUGAGCUCGAUGAGUAGGGCGGGACACGUGGUAUCCUGUCUGAAUAUGGGGGGACCAUCCUCCAAGGCUAAAUACUCCUGACUGACCGAUAGUGAACCAGUACCGUGAGGGAAAGGCGAAAAGAACCCCGGCGAGGGGAGUGAAAAAGAACCUGAAACCGUGUACGUACAAGCAGUGGGAGCACGCUUAGGCGUGUGACUGCGUACCUUUUGUAUAAUGGGUCAGCGACUUAUAUUCUGUAGCAAGGUUAACCGAAUAGGGGAGCCGAAGGGAAACCGAGUCUUAACUGGGCGUUAAGUUGCAGGGUAUAGACCCGAAACCCGGUGAUCUAGCCAUGGGCAGGUUGAAGGUUGGGUAACACUAACUGGAGGACCGAACCGACUAAUGUUGAAAAAUUAGCGGAUGACUUGUGGCUGGGGGUGAAAGGCCAAUCAAACCGGGAGAUAGCUGGUUCUCCCCGAAAGCUAUUUAGGUAGCGCCUCGUGAAUUCAUCUCCGGGGGUAGAGCACUGUUUCGGCAAGGGGGUCAUCCCGACUUACCAACCCGAUGCAAACUGCGAAUACCGGAGAAUGUUAUUACGGGAGACACACGGCGGGUGCUAACGUCCGUCGUGAAGAGGGAAACAACCCAGACCGCCAGCUAAGGUCCCAAAGUCAUGGUUAAGUGGGAAACGAUGUGGGAAGGCCCAGACAGCCAGGAUGUUGGCUUAGAAGCAGCCAUCAUUUAAAGAAAGCGUAAUAGCUCACUGGUCGAGUCGGCCUGCGCGGAAGAUGUAACGGGGCUAAACCAUGCACCGAAGCUGCGGCAGCGACGCUUAUGCGUUGUUGGGUAGGGGAGCGUUCUGUAAGCCUGUGAAGGUGUGCUGUGAGGUAUGCUGGAGGUAUCAGAAGUGCGAAUGCUGACAUAAGUAACGAUAAAGCGGGUGAAAAGCCCGCUCGCCGGAAGACCAAGGGUUCCUGUCCAACGUUAAUCGGGGCAGGGUGAGUCGACCCCUAAGGCGAGGCCGAAAGGCGUAGUCGAUGGGAAACAGGUUAAUAUUCCUGUACUUGGUGUUACUGCGAAGGGGGGACGGAGAAGGCUAUGUUGGCCGGGCGACGGUUGUCCCGGUUUAAGCGUGUAGGCUGGUUUUCCAGGCAAAUCCGGAAAAUCAAGGCCGAGGCGUGAUGACGAGGCACUACGGUGCUGAAGCAACAAAUGCCCUGCUUCCAGGAAAAGCCUCUAAGCAUCAGGUAACAUCAAAUCGUACCCCAAACCGACACAGGUGGUCAGGUAGAGAAUACCAAGGCGCUUGAGAGAACUCGGGUGAAGGAACUAGGCAAAAUGGUGCCGUAACUUCGGGAGAAGGCACGCUGAUACGUAGGUGAAGCGACUUGCUCGUGGAGCUGAAAUCAGUCGAAGAUACCAGCUGGCUGCAACUGUUUAUUAAAAACACAGCACUGUGCAAACACGAAAGUGGACGUAUACGGUGUGACGCCUGCCCGGUGCCGGAAGGUUAAUUGAUGGGGUUAGCGCAAGCGAAGCUCUUGAUCGAAGCCCCGGUAAACGGCGGCCGUAACUAUAACGGUCCUAAGGUAGCGAAAUUCCUUGUCGGGUAAGUUCCGACCUGCACGAAUGGCGUAAUGAUGGCCAGGCUGUCUCCACCCGAGACUCAGUGAAAUUGAACUCGCUGUGAAGAUGCAGUGUACCCGCGGCAAGACGGAAAGACCCCGUGAACCUUUACUAUAGCUUGACACUGAACAUUGAGCCUUGAUGUGUAGGAUAGGUGGGAGGCUUUGAAGUGUGGACGCCAGUCUGCAUCGGAGCCGACCUUGAAAUACCACCCUUUAAUGUUUGAUGUUCUAACGUGGACCCGUGAUCCGUGUUGCGGACAGUGUCUGGUGGGUAGUUUGACUGGGGCGGUCUCCUCCUAAAGAGUAACGGAGGAGCACGAAGGUUGGCUAAUCCUGGUCGGACAUCAGGAGGUUAGUGCAAUGGCAUAAGCCAGCUUGACUGCGAGCGUGACGGCGCGAGCAGGUGCGAAAGCAGGUCAUAGUGAUCCGGUGGUUCUGAAUGGAAGGGCCAUCGCUCAACGGAUAAAAGGUACUCCGGGGAUAACAGGCUGAUACCGCCCAAGAGUUCAUAUCGACGGCGGUGUUUGGCACCUCGAUGUCGGCUCAUCACAUCCUGGGGCUGAAGUAGGUCCCAAGGGUAUGGCUGUUCGCCAUUUAAAGUGGUACGCGAGCUGGGUUUAGAACGUCGUGAGACAGUUCGGUCCCUAUCUGCCGUGGGCGCUGGAGAACUGAGGGGGCUGCUCCUAGUACGAGAGGACCGGAGUGGACGCAUCACUGGUGUUCGGGUUGUCAUGCCAAUGGCACUGCCCGGUAGCUAAAUGCGGAAGAGAUAAGUGCUGAAAGCAUCUAAGCACGAAACUUGCCCCGAGAUGAGUUCUCCCUGACCCUUUAAGGGUCCUGAAGGAACGUUGAAGACGACGACGUUGAUAGGCCGGGUGUGUAAGCGCAGCGAUGCGUUGAGCUAACCGGUACUAAUGAACCGUGAGGCUUAACCUU
rnacentral:rRNA from 1 species